rnacentral:rRNA from 1 species
GUAGGUGGCAAGCGUUGUCCGGAAUUAUUGGGCGUAAAGCGCGCGCAGGGCGGUCCUUUAAGUCUGAUGUGAAAGCCCACGGCUCAACCGUGGAGGGUCAUUGGAAACUGGGGGACUUGAGUACAGAAGAGGAAAGCGGAAUUCCAAGUGUAGCGGUGAAAUGCGUAGAGAUUUGGAGGAACACCAGUGGCGAAGGCGGCUUUCUGGUCUGUAACUGACGCUGAGGCGCGAAAGCGUGGGGAGCAAACAGGAUUAGAUACCCUGGUAGUCCACGCCGUAAACGAUGAGUGCUAAGUGUUAGGGGGUUUCCGCCCCUUAGUGCUGCAGCCAACGCAUUAAGCACUCCGCCUGGGGAGUACGGCCGCAAGGCUG